rnacentral:rRNA from 1 species
AACGAACGCUGGCGGCAUGCCUAACACAUGCAAGUCGAACGAACCCUUCGGGUCUUUUGGCGCACGGGUUCGUAACGCGUGGGAACCUUCCCUUAGGUUCGGAAUAACUCCCCGAAAGGGGUGCUAAUACCGGAUAAUGUCUUCGAACCAAAGAUUUAUCGCCUUUGGAUGUGCCCGCGUUGGAUUAGCUAGUUGGUAGGGUAAAAGCCUACCAAGGCGACGAUCCAUAGCUUGUCUGAGAGGAUGCUCAGCCACACUGGGACUGAGACACGGCCCAGACUCCUACGGGAAGCAGGAGUGGGGAAUAGUGGAAAAUGGGCGAAAGGAUGAUGCAGCAAUGCCGGGUGAGUGAUGAAGGCCGUAGGGUUGUAAAGCGCAUGUACCCGGGAUGAUAAUGACAGUACCGGGAGAAUAAGCUCCGGCUAACUCCGUG